rnacentral:rRNA from 1 species
UGGGCGUAAGGGCUCGCAGGCGGUUUCUUAAGUCUGAUGUGUAAUCCCCCGGCUCAACCCCGGAUGGUCCUUGGAACCUGGUGACCUUGAUUGCAAAAAAGAAAAUUGAAUUUCCCCUUGUACCGGUAAAUUGCUUAAAAUUGUGAAGGACCCCCAUUGGCAAAGGCAACUCUUUGGUCUGUACCUGACCUUAAGGACCGAAACCGGGGGGAGCGAACAGGAUUAAAUCCCCGGGUAUCCCCCCCCGUAACCAAUGAUGGCUAGUGGUUAGGGGGUUUCCGCCCCUUAUGGCUGCAUCUAACCCUUUAACCUUUCCGCCGGGGGAGUACGGCCGCAAAACUGAAACUCAAAGGAUUUGACGGGGGCCCGCCCAACCGGGGAAUCUUGUGGUUUAUUUCAAACCACCGCGAAAAACCUUACCAGGUCUUGACUUCCUCUGACGGCCCUAGAGAUAGGGCUUUCCCUUCGGGGACAGAAUGACAGGUGGUGCAUGGUUGUCGCCACCUCUUGUCGGGAAAUGUUGGGUUAAGUCCCGCACCGACCGCAACCCUUGAUCUUAUUUGCCACCAUUUAGUUGGGCACUCUAAGGUGACUGCCGGUGACAAACCGGAGGAAGGUGGGGAUGACGUCAAAUCAUCAUGCCCCUUAUGACCUGGGCUACACACGUGCUACAAUGGACAGAACAACGGGCUG